rnacentral:rRNA from 1 species
GAUGAACGCUAGCUACAGGCUUAACACAUGCAAGUCGAGGGGCAGCAUUUCAGUUUGCUUGCAGACUGGAGAUGGCGACCGGCGCACGGGUGAGUAACACGUAUCCAACCUGCCGAUAACUCGGGGAUAGCCUUUCGAAAGAAAGAUUAAUACCCGAUGGCAUAAUUAGACCGCAUGGUCUUAUUAUUAAAGAAUUUCGGUUAUCGAUGGGGAUGCGUUCCAUUAGGCAGUUGGUGAGGUAACGGCUCACCAAACCUUCGAUGGAUAGGGGUUCUGAGAGGAAGGUCCCCCACAUUGGAACUGAGACACGGUCUAAACUCCUACGGGAGGCAGCAGUGAGGAAUAUUGGUCAAUGGGCGCAGGCCUGAACCAGCCAAGUAGCGUGAAGGAUGACUGCCCUAUGGGUUGUAAACUUCUUUUAUAUGGGAAUAAAGUUUUCCACGUGUGGAAUUUUGUAUGUACCAUAUGAAUAAGGAUCGGCUAACUCCGUGCCAGCAGCCGCGGUAAUACGGAGGAUCCGAGCGUUAUCCGGAUUUAUUGGGUUUAAAGGGAGCGUAGGUGGACAGUUAAGUCAGUUGUGAAAGUUUGCGGCUCAACCGUAAAAUUGCAGUUGAUACUGGCUGUCUUGAGUACAGUAGAGGUGGGCGGAAUUCGUGGUGUAGCGGUGAAAUGCUUAGAUAUCACGAAGAACUCCGAUUGCGAAGGCAGCUCACUGGACUGCAACUGACACUGAUGCUCGAAAGUGUGGGUAUCAAACAGGAUUAGAUACCCUGGUAGUCCACACAGUAAACGAUGAAUACUCGCUGUUUGCGAUAUACAGUAAGCGGCCAAGCGAAAGCAUUAAGUAUUCCACCUGGGGAGUACGCCGGCAACGGUGAAACUCAAAGGAAUUGACGGGGGCCCGCACAAGCGGAGGAACAUGUGGUUUAAUUCGAUGAUACGCGAGGAACCUUACCCGGGCUUAAAUUGCAUUUGAAUAUAUUGGAAACAGUAUAGCCGUAAGGCAAAUGUGAAGGUGCUGCAUGGUUGUCGUCAGCUCGUGCCGUGAGGUGUCGGCUUAAGUGCCAUAACGAGCGCAACCCUUAUCUUUAGUUACUAACAGGUCAUGCUGAGGACUCUAGAGAGACUGCCGUCGUAAGAUGUGAGGAAGGUGGGGAUGACGUCAAAUCAGCACGGCCCUUACGUCCGGGGCUACACACGUGUUACAAUGGGGGGUACAGAAGGCAGCUACCUGGUGACAGGAUGCUAAUCCCAAAAGCCUCUCUCAGUUCGGAUCGAAGUCUGCAACCCGACUUCGUGAAGCUGGAUUCGCUAGUAAUCGCGCAUCAGCCAUGGCGCGGUGAAUACGUUCCCGGGCCU